rnacentral:rRNA from 1 species
AGAGUUUGAUCAUGGCUCAGAUUGAACGCUGGCGGCAGGCCUAACACAUGCAAGUCGAGCGGAUGACGGGAGCUUGCUCCUGGAUUCAGCGGCGGACGGGUGAGUAAUGCCUAGGAAUCUGCCUGGUAGUGGGGGACAACGUUUCGAAAGGAACGCUAAUACCGCAUACGUCCUACGGGAGAAAGCAGGGGACCUUCGGGCCUUGCGCUAUCAGAUGAGCCUAGGUCGGAUUAGCUUGUUGGUGAGGUAAUGGCUCACCAAGGCGACGAUCCGUAACUGGUCUGAGAGGAUGAUCAGUCACACUGGAACUGAGACACGGUCCAGACUCCUACGGGAGGCAGC